AAACUAUUAUACUCUGUAGCAAAAGGUUGCGAGAGUAUAAAAGUGAUUUCUCCUUUCUCGAAGUUACCUUCAGAAAUCUAAAUAUUUGCCUUUGAACUGGAAAUAGGCUUAUUGAAAAACAAUUUAACCUAGUGUUGUGCAUGUUGACAUACGAUCUGGAAUAACUAAAACCGCAAGGAGGUGGUCAGAUGAAAGUAUAUUUGGCAACCGAGCUUAUUUUUUAUUCGAGGCUAAUCCUUGGGAACUAAUUAUUCGGAAUAGCCAAAUAUCAGACACCGGUGUGUACAGAUGUCGGGUUGAUUUCAUGAAAGCACAAACCUACAAUAGUCGAGUUAUGUUAAUAAUAAUUGCGUUGCCUAAAGAAAUCAUCAUAAGGGAUGAAAAUGGUUUUAAACGCUCAACGGUGGCUGGACCAUACAAUGUAGGCGAUUUCGUGAUACUUAAAUGUGAAGCCAUUGG